CGCAAGGGGGUGGGAGGGGCCAACUGAAGGCCAGUGUGUGCCAGGCCCUGCACCAGGCCUGGGGAACGCUGCAGGGGAGAAGACAGGCCUGCCUCUGCCUCACAGGAAGGGCGUUCUGUUCAGGGAGACUAAGAGUAAACAAAUCAACCUGCUCAUGAGCAAGGUCAAAUGAGAGAGCCACAGGCAUUGGAAAGAAAACUGGUGCUGGGAAAACCAGUGAGGACUGUGAGCUCGGUUAUGAGGAUGUGGGAGAGACACUCCCUGAGGAGGAUGGGGAGGGGAGUGGAGACCCUAAUAGCUGGCAGGAAACAGCCAGGCAGAGACCUGGGGGCGGAACGUUCUGGCGGAGGGAAAAAGUGCCAAGUCCUAGAGGCGGGAAAGAGCUUGAUGCAUGCGAGAGAAAAAAGCAAGGCCUUUGUGGCUGGAGGAGAAUGAAAGUGGGGAGUGGAAGGCGAAGUCUGAGAGGUAAGCAGGGACUGGAUUAUGCAGAGCCUUGAAGACUGAAUGAGGAAUGUGAGCGUUCCUCUGCACAUAACCAGAGGCCAGGGAAUGGUUAAGGGUGAGAAAUGAAGCCACUUGGGACUUCCACAUUUGGCCAAGGCAGAGUAGCUGGCCCUUCUGUAAGUCAACAACUAUACAAUUAAGUCUGGGUGUGGUGGCUCAUGCCUAUAAGAGUGAGACUGUCUCAGAAGCAAAACAAAACAAAACAAAAACAAAAACAAAAGAAAACAAAAAAACUAUGCAAUUAAAUUAAGUGCACGAGGCAACUCCUUGGAAGCAGUGGGCAGCAGGCAGUGCAAGACUGCGAUGCCUGAGAGAAGGAAAGCCCGCAGAGGCGCCUGCAAUCAACGACCAGCUCCUGUCCGGGCAGAAUUUUCUGACCACAGCACAGAGACCUGGAGUCCAAACACAGCUCAGUGGCCAUGGUGAGCGGACAAGACAGGCAUUAGGGGUGGCUGGGAUAGAAUCAGGCAAUCAGAGAGGUGGAAACUGUGUUGACAGGGAACCCUAGGAGUCAAUGUGGGGGUUUGCUGUUGAGUUCAUCGUGGAGGGAUGAGCUGUACAUGCUCGGAGAAAGAAGACCAAGACUUUCAGAGAGCAGACACUAUGGGAUUGAAAGCAAAAUGGAACCGCCAGAGGUUUAAGCUGAGCUAGGGAGAGAAUGCUCCUGGUGAAUAUUGAAAUUCCAGCCUUGCCAGAGUAGAGAAAUCUUAACACCUUUGAUAACACUCCUGGCAUCCAGCUGAGACCCUAAAAAGGUUAUGCCUAAGAAUGACACAAUGGACUUUGGGGACUCAGAGGGGAAGGGAUGGGAAGGGGGUGAGGGAUAAAAGACUAUAAAUUGGGUGCAGUGUAUACAGCUCAGGUGAUGCAAAAUCUCACAAAUCGCCACUAAAGAACUGACUCAUGUCACCAAACACCACCUGUUCCCCAAUAACCUACAGAAAUAAAAAAAUUUAAAAAAACAUAAAUAGUAUAGCAAGCCAGCAUCAUAAUAAAUGGUAUUCUAAUGUUAGAAAAAAAAGGCUAUGCCUUAGGAGUAAGGACAACAGCCUAGUAUACUUAUUUAUACUAAACCUCCCCCAGCAAAACCUAAGGGGCUUUUUGAAAAGAUCUGCAGGGAAAACAGAAUUAAGAGAGAACUCCUGCCAAACCAAAGGGGUCAAGGAAACACAUAGUCUUUCUACCAUCCACACGACCAAAGUGUGAAGACAAGCCUAUAUAAGUUCAAAGUGGUCAGCUAGUAAUUUAACUGCCUGAUAAAAUAAGAAACACUUUUUAGAGGAAGAUAACAAAGAGAUGAGUGCAGUCUAUAAGACUAAAGGCACAAGAAACUGUACAUAAGCACUGUGCUCUAGUUGAUAAAGUCAUUUCUCACAAGACCAUGAGUAACAAUUCUGAAACCAUGAUGCAAGAAAACUGGAACUCAACAAUGUAGUGGAUGGAUGGUGGGUAGUGGGAGCCCAGUUUCUUACUGUCAGAGUGUCAGAUUACAGGCAAGGAAAGGGAGGGAGCUACAGUGAUUCAUGUGGAAAGGAAUUAGAGUUGUAGACAUCAGUGUGAACUCAUAUUUAGGUUAAAAUAAAUACAGAUGCUACCUAUAGCUAUACGUAUAUACAUAGGUCAGUAUAUACAAAUAUAUCUCUUUGCUCUGUCCAUGUCAAAGACAUUCACCAUGUUUUUUUAUAACUUGAUAAUUCAUUUCUUUCUAUUGCUGAAUAAUAUUCCAUUGUAAGGACAUGCCACAGUUUAGCCAUUUGCCUAUUGUUUCAUGUUUUUGACAAUUAUCAAUAAUGCUGCUAUAAAUUGUUGCAUGCAGGUUUUUACAUUGACAUAAGUUUUCAAAUCCCUUGAGUGUGCCCAGGAGGGCAAUUGCUGGAUGGUAUGGUAAGCUUGUGUUUGGCUUUGUAAGAAACUGCCAAACUGUCUUCCCAAGUGGCUGUGCCAUUUUGCAUUCCCACCAGCAAGGAAUGUGAACACCUGUUGCUCUGUAUUCUUGCCAGAGCAAGGUGUUGUAUUUAAAAAUUCAUCACCAAUCCCCGUCAGCUUAGAGGUCCUGGAGGUGAUAAUACCCCAGUGGAAA
rnacentral:lncRNA from 1 species